ACGGGACCCGGCACAAGCGGUGGAUGAUGUGGAUUAAUUCGAUGCAACGCGAAAACCUUACUACCCUUGACAUGUCCGGAAUCCUGCAGAGAUGCGGGAGUGCCCGAAAGGGAAUCGGAACACAGGUGCUGCAUGGCUGUCGUCAGCUCGUGUCGUGAGAUGUUGGGUUAAGUCCCGCAACGAGCGCAACCCUUAUCAUUAGUUGCUACGCAAGGGCACUCUAAUGAGACUGCCGGUGACAAACCGGAGGAAGUGGGGAUGACGUCAAGUCCUCAUGGCCCUUAUGGGUAGGGCUUCACACGUCAUACAAUGGUCGGUACAGAGGGUUGCCAAGCCGCGAGGUGGAGCCAAUCCCAGAAAGCCGAUCGUAGUCCGGAUUGUUCUCUGCAACUCGAGAGCAUGAAGUCGGAAUCGCUAGUAAUCGCAGGUCAGCAUACUGCGGUGAAUACGUUCCCGGGCCUU
rnacentral:rRNA from 1 species